AGUUGUUGUACGUAACUUUGCUUGCUUAAAUAUACUUAUCUUCUCAGGUUCCUUACGUUGGACGAGUCAUUCCUACUUGAGAAUCGGUUGACUUUGAGGGCCAUGUAUGUUGACCUGGUUUUAAUAAUUUAAGACUGUGUUAUAAAUUAUGAAUUGUAGCGUAUAACUUUCUUUUUAUUUCUUUCUCUCUCUCUCUCUCUUUUUCCCUCUUCAAUGCAGAUCAGAAUUUGGUGCUCUUUUGAUCUACUUCUACAUAUGUGAUCGCACAAAUCUUCUUGGUGAAUCGAAAAAGGUUGAAUCCUACUAUUUUGUUACUUAUCUGCUCUCCUGGUACAUAUUUGGCAUUGUAUUUGACAAACAGAUGGCUUCAAAUAUAAAAUUGUAAAAGAUAUAGUUAUAUUUAUAAAAUUAUGAAUAGGAAGUUGUGAUUGUAAAACAUGUGAGAUCAACACUUAAACUGGUGGAAUAUAUAAACUUCAUAAUGUUUUGCUGUUAUACAACAAAGACAACGUAAAAAAAAAAUGUUUGAGGUAGUACACAUUGGUCUGAUAUUUUAGCAAUACGCUUAUUAGAAUAAAGUAGGACUAUUCAUUUAGCUGUCACAUGUAUCUAAAGAAGCAAUAUGUAAUGCAGCAACUGUAGCUUUGUUUCUAUUCCUUUCUUAUUGGUUUCCAUUACGGUGUCUUCCAUAAUUAGAUGUUGACCUGUUGAAUAUAAUAAACCGGGUCCUAAUACUGGUACAUUUGGAGAAAAUGAAAAACUUGAGCUGUGAUUCCGGAUGGUCAACUGAUGUUUCAUCAAAUCAGUAAUAAAAUCACAUAAGGUGGAUGGUGUUUAAACAUGUGCUGCUACUGUUUCUAAUUUAUGAAAUGCUACCUAUAUGAAUGUGAUGAUUGAUUUGGUCCUUGUGUUUGCAGAGUUACAAUCGGGAUCUCUUUUUGUUUCUAUACUUCCUUCUCAUCAUAGUUUCGGCAAUUACUUCUUUCAAGAUACAUAAUGACAAGUCGCCAUUCUCUGGGAAGACGAUAAUGUAUUUAAAUAGGCAUCAAACUGAGGAGUGGAAAGGAUGGAUGCAGGUAAUUAAGUUCCCCAAAAAAUUCAUUUACCUGUUGAUUUAUGAUUGCUACUGAACAGUUUCUGCAUGUGGAGUAUUGUAUUUGUUUUGUGUGCUUAUUGUUACAAAUUCCUUUCUUGUUCCUUUUUCCUCUGCAGUCAGGUUUGCGCAUUAAUGUUUUUGUAGAUUUAUAAAAGCAUACCAAUUAUCGUACUUAAGUGAUGGAAGAAGACUUUGAGUGAACCAGCAGACUUGUCAUUUAAUCUAAGCAUACUAUGAGCACUGACAGCCUUGUACCUCCCUUCUCGACUAUCUCCUUAUACUCUAUCCUUAGUAUCUUAUUUCAGUUCUCAGAUGUUACUUCGAGAAUUAAGUAUUAUCGCUAUAGAAGCAAAUCCUGAUCGCUUGUCUUGUGACGUUAUCUGUUCCAAUGUGCCAUUUUGAUUAACCUCAAGAUACUAGUAUAACUUUGUUUCACUUAUAGACACUUCUCCAUUCUUGCCUAGAAUUAUAUCACUGACUAUUUGGCACCUAAACUUGUUGUGAGAUAUAGACAUGAACAGUUUAUCAAAUUUUUUGAAGGAAUAAGUUGCAAAAGUAAUCCCCGAUCAUCUUGAAAAGGAAGGGCCUCGUUUUUACUUAAGAAGGGUACAUAAGGUUGUGGGACAUUGUAUCUAAGGCACUUUCAGUUUGAGUAAUUUGUCUGCUGAAAUGAGUUAAGCCACAGUAUUAAGAAAACAGUUCCUAUUUGACAUUUGAGUCGUUCUUUAAAAAUAUCUUCCAAUUAUUGAGCACAUUGAUAUUCUGGGUAGUCUGCUGUAGAUAUUAUUCAUCUUGUCUAUGUCAUAAUGUUAUUUUGCAAUCUUCUUCUCUUCUGCAGGUCUUAUUUCUUAUGUAUCAUUACUUUGCUGCAACCGAAAUCUAUAAUGCCAUUCGAGUUUUUAUUGCUGCAUAUGUGUGGAUGACUGGCUUUGGAAACUUCUCAUAUUAUUACAUCCGCAAGGAUUUCAGCCUUGCUAGGUUUAUUCAGGUGCUAUUUUGCCAUGAGUUUUAGGAUAAAAUCCUGAUUUCUCAAAUGAACCUUCCUCCUGACAGAUUAACAUUUGAUUGGGGCAGAUGAUGUGGCGGCUUAAUUUCUUGGUGUUUUUUUGCUGCGUUGUGCUUAAUAACAGUUACAUGUUAUACUACAUAUGCCCCAUGCACACGCUUUUCACUCUCAUGGUUUACGGGGCCCUUGGCAUUUACAACAAGUACAACGAGCAGGGGGCUGUCAUUGCUGGCAAAAUCAUAGCCUGCUUCUUGGUGGUCAUUUUGAUUUGGGAGGUGCCUGGGAUGUUUGAACUGUUGUGGAGUCCAUUCUCUUUCUUGCUUGGUUAGUAACUUCUUCCGUUGCUACUUUCACCCUGUGGCCAUCGGAUAUAAGCAUCUCAAUUUUAUGCGUCAUAUUUCAGGCUAUGCAGAUCCUUCAAAAGCAAAACAGCCCCCCUUGCAUGAGUGGCAUUUCCGCUCAGGCCUUGAUCGAUACAUAUGGAUAAUUGGGAUGAUAUAUGCGUACUAUCAUCCAACGGUAAGAUUUCGUUCAUACUUGUCUAUGAUGCACUGAUACGGACAUGUGUGUCUCACACGAUACAUGUCGAAUACGUUGACUCGUGGUUUUUCAAAAAAAUACCGAGACGACACGUCGUUGACGUGUUUAUUAAAUUUUUUAAAAUUCUUAACUUAUAUAGGCCCUGUUUGACCUACAUUAUUUCAAAAAAGUAUAUUUUUAAACAGUGAUUUGACAUCAUUUCAACCACACAUUCUUCAAUAAAAUAAUAUUACACGCAAAUCCAAAACUUUUCCUUAUUUUUUAACCACACAUUUCCCAUCGAUACACUAUUUAAGAAUGCAUUCUUAUGGAAAUAAUGUGGCACAAACAAGGGCAUAGUAUAAAUAUAGUUUUAUACUUAUUAUUGAUUUUUCUUAUUGAAAUUUUUUAUAUAUGAAUACUUAUUUGUUAUUUACUAAUAAUUUUAAGUUAAAAAUAUAUAAUAGCUACAGUAAAAAGGAAAAAUGAUUAUUAUAGAGUGUCCGAAUAACGUCGGUAUCGACAUGUGUCCAACACGGACAAGCUACCCUAAUUAGACCGUCCAUGGACUCCAUGCUACAGAGAUACUUGUGUUGUUACCUGUCAUUGUUAAUACAAGCAUAAUUUUGUAUGUGUACUUCAAACACAUCAUGGUAGUCUUUGUUAUUUCGCUUUUAGAUUUCCUUCUUGUUCACACCUCCUGAAGCUGUUCGAAUUUAUUUAUUAGGUAGAGAGAUGGAUGGAGAAACUGGAGGAAGCUGAACCAAAACGUAGGAUAUCAAUCAAAAUGAUUGUUGUGAUAAUUUCAUUAACGGUAUUACAUCAAUCUUUCAGAACAAUCUUUUAUAUAUCAAUCCUGCAUCUAAUACCAGUGAUUUCAUGAUUUCAGAUUGGAUAUCUAUGGCUGGAGUAUAUAUACAAGCUUCCAAAAAUUACAUACAAUAAAUAUCAUCCUUAUACAUCAUGGAUUCCCAUUACGUAUGAACAUCCUCUAAUUGCUUUGUUAGAAUAUGGACAUUACAUACUUCCUGUAUCUGCACACUUUCUUUUGACCAGGGUUUUACAUUGUACCUUUUUUAUUGAUCAGUGUAUACAUAAGCUUGCGAAAUGUCACCCUGCAUUUCCGUAGCUACACGUUGACACUUUUUGCGUAAGUAGUCUGUGAUUGGUAAAUUUAUUCUCCAAGGAAUGACUAGAUGCCCCUGACAUUUAUUCCCUUGAUAAAUAGAUGGCUUGGAAAGAUCACUUUGGAAACUUAUAUCUCGCAGAUCCACAUAUGGUUAAGGUAUGCCAAACAAGUUAUAAGGUCUUAAUUUGCAGUAUAUUCUUAGGGCUUCAAAAAAAUCUAAAUCUAUGGAUCCGCCCUUCUCAUGGAUUUGAGUCUACAUCUAUUUAUUUUUAUUUACAAGAAUUCUUGCAUUCAGCAAAAGACAUUACAUUUGUAGCAUAAAUAACGGAAAAUAUUUAUUUUGAGACUUGUAAUUUUACACUUUUGAAUGACAAAAUGAUUUAUCAAUACUCGAAUAACAUGUUUGGCAAACUUUUUUCAAUCAGUACAAGCUGUUGACUGUUGAUAAUAUUUGAGAUUUUCUUUUGGCACCAUGCAAUAUGGUUUCUAGAUUUUAAGUAAUGGGAGAUUAUGCAUAAUUCUAAUGAGAUUCAAACUACGAAUGCAGGUCUGGUGUGCCAGAUGGUCAGCCCAAACUGUUACUUUCUUAGAUUCCGAAUUACCCUUUGUUAAACUUCAUGCUCACUACGUCAAUAUAUGUCGCGGUAGUGUACAUAUUCUUCUUGUUCAAUUAAUUAUUUUGAUAGUGCAUUGAAAAGGGCAUGAAGAUAACUUCUGUUGCGCUCUUACCUUUUUUCUUCAUCUUCAUAAAUACUUGCAGGUGUCUUACCGCCUUUUUGAACUUACAAAUAAGUUAAAAUCCACAUUUUUGCCAACAAAAGACAAUAAACGCCUUGGCCACAACUUGGUCGCUGCAGUGGUGAUAGCAAGCAUUUUAUACACAUUAUCUUUUGUACUAUUAAGAGUACCUCAAAUGCUAGUAAGUGUACCAUAGUAUUUUUUAACGUCAUUGUUGGCCAUUCAUGUUCCCAUCGUUCUUUCCUGCACUGUGAUAUUUUCAUGUAGUAUUUAUGGCAUGUUUGUAACUGAGGAUUAGAUAGCACUCACUCCUUACAGAUGUUGCUUUUCAAUUACAUCAAACAGCUGUUAAAACACAUCCACCCAUUGUAAGUGAAGUUCAAUAAUCUUGCAACUUCGUCGUUUUUCUUUGUAAAUGCAGGUGUGAAAAUUCGAUGUGUAGAGGAAAGGACAAGACCUCCAUGAAGCAUCGUGGAAGAUGGAUCAUCAAAUUGAGCUAAGUUACGAACUGUGGAUUGGUUACAAUAAUAGCAUAGAAAUUUGUAUAGAAAACGUCUCGUAAUUAAAUUUGAUCUUUUUCACUUAAUAUGUCAUCGACUAUUGGAUCACGAGCAUGAUCGAGGAGUGUUUGUUCACUAUUUUUAUACCAGUUUAGUGAUUGUUGUUCAUUAAUUUUAUACCCUUAUAUUCAAGAGGUUACUUGUUCUUUCGAAAUACAUUA
rnacentral:lncRNA from 1 species